rnacentral:rRNA from 1 species
UACGAAGGGGGCUAGCGUUGUUCGGAAUCACUGGGCGUAAAGCGCACGUAGGCGGAUGUGCCAGUCAGGGGUGAAAUCCCGGAGCUCAACUCCGGAACUGCCUCUGAUACAGCACGUCUUGAGUUCGAGAGAGGUGGGUGGAAUUCCUAGUGUAGAGGUGAAAUACGUAGAGAUUGGGAAGAACACCAGUGGCGAAGGCGGCUAUCUGGACGGUUUCUGACACUAAGACUCGAAAGCGUGGGGAGCAAACAGG